rnacentral:rRNA from 1 species
AGAUUGUACGCUGGCGGCAGGCCUAACACAUGCAAGUCGAGCGGUAGAGAGGUGCUUGCACCUCUUGAGAGCGGCGGACGGGUGAGUAAUGCCUAGGAAUCUGCCUAGUGGUGGGGGAUAACGUUCGGAAACGGACGCUAAUACCGCAUACGUCCUACGGGAGAAAGCGGGGGACCUUCGGGCCUCGCGCCAUUAGAUGAGCCUAGGUCGAUUAGCUAGUUGGUGAGGUAAUGGCUCACCAAGGCGACGAUCCGUAACUGGUCUGAGAGGAUGAUCAGUCACACUGGAACUGAGACACGGUCCAGACUCCUACGGGAGCAGCAGUGGGAAUAUUGGACAAUGGGCAAAGCCUGAUCCAGCCAUGCCGCGUGUGUGAAGAAGGUCUUCGGAUUGAAAGCACGUUUAAGUGGAGGUAAGGUUGUAACUUAAUACGUGACUAACUUUGACGUUACGACAGUAAUAAGCACCGGAUAACUUCGU